UACAGGGGGUGCAAACGUUGCUCGGAAUCACUGGGCGUAAAGCGCACGUAGGCGGAUUGUUAAGUCAGGGGUGAAAUCCUGGAGCUCAACUCCAGAACUGCCUUUGAUACUGGCGAUCUUGAGUCCGGGAGAGGUGAGUGGAACUGCGAGUGUAGAGGUGAAAUUCGUAGAUAUUCGCAAGAACACCAGUGGCGAAGGCGGCUCACUGGCCCGGUACUGACGCUGAGGUGCGAAAGCGUGGGGAGCAAACAGGG
rnacentral:rRNA from 1 species